rnacentral:rRNA from 1 species
UACCCGCAGCUCAAGUGGUGGUCAUUAUUAUUGGGCCUAAAGCGUCCGUAGCUGGCUUGUUAGAUGCCUGGGUAUAUCGAUGCGCUUAACGCAUCGAAUUCCGGGUAGACCGGCAAGCUCGAGACCGGGAGAGGCGUGAGCUACUCGAGGGGUAGGGGUAAAAUCCUGUAAUCCUUCGGGGAGGACCAGUGGCGAAGGCGUCACGCUAGAACGGCUCUGACAGUGAGGGACGAAGCCCUGGGGCGCAAACCGG